CUGUCCAUGCCCAGAGGGACUCUCUCUGCCUUUAGGGACGGUUCUUGAGAGCCCAAGUUCCAAGCAAGUCUGGCUCCCUCAGCCUCAGAGGUGGUCCAGGGCAACCCUCUUGCCAACCUGAGGUGGCAGCCUGCUUGGAGAGCUGGGCUACCAUUCUGAGAGACCUCCUCAGCCCUGGAGAGCCACACCAAAUUGCUUGGCCAAAGGCUUUUGUGGCUGGCAUCCAUCACUUUUUUUGGUGGCUCUUUUAGAACAGUGGUUCUCAGCCUGUGGGUCACAAGCCCUUUGGGGGCCAAGCAGCCCUUUCACCAGGGUCACCUAAGACACCACAGUUUGAUGGUUGGUGGUCACCACAACAUGAGGAACUGUAUUUGAGGGUCAGGGCAUUAGGAAGGUUGAGAACCACUGUGCUAGAGCAUGGCCACGUAGCCCCAAAAACCCACCACAAACUGGUUUGUGUUCAACUUUGUGCCAUUGGUAUGGUGAGAAUCUUACUCAUUGGUUUCAAGCUAUGGUGUCAGCCACCUCGAAUCCCAUCUUGCAAGGCAAGAUAGACCCCAGAUAAAGGGGCAAGGAAAGGCGAUGCCAGGCCGUGGGCCUCUGGCAGGGGUCAAAAUUGGACAGCCCUUGCAAGAGCCUGCUGCACCUGUGCUGCAACCUGACCUCUUGGGAAGUCCUGGGAGGCUCAGAGCUUUUUCAAUUGGAGACAUUCCUCGGGUGGACUGGCUUUAACGUCUUCCUCUGCAUCCGGAGGAGAUUUCGCACCCAACCUCCUGCAAGCAGUGUGGGAGGCGGAAGGGGAAGACGUCAACAGUCUUCCAGAGCAGAGCUGCUUCCCUUGGCAAUGGCAUUUGGCCCCAAGCCACCCUGAACUAUAAUUAGAGACUUCCGAAGAAGCGACGCAAGUUGGACAGAUGGGCCUCCCUCUUCAGGGAGCAAGAGCCUUUGGAAAGGCAGGAGCUGGGAGGAUCAACCGCAAGCAAGGGGCCUUCACUCUGGAGUGUCAACGCUCUGGAGUGUUGGUGGGGAGUGAAGUUGAAGGCUUUCACAGCCGGCGUCCAUCAUUUUUUGUGGGUUUUUCGAGCUGUGUGGCUGUGUUCUGGAAGAGUUUAUUCCUGACAUUUUGCCAAUCUUUUCUGAAGAUGCCAGCCACAGAUGCUGGCGAAAUGUCAGGAAGAAACUCUUCUAGAACACAGUCUGAAAACCCCACUAAAUCUUAUUCAGCCACCUUGCCUUCUGAGAUUCCACCAGGUAUUUUUCCUAUGCGCUUCACACAUUUCCUUGCGGUCAUGAGGUAUAAAAACACAGGCCAGUAUCACCCGUUUACUUAAGUACUGUAUCCUUAACUAGGCAGCUGAUACAGAGGACUGAUACAGAAUCAGAAUGCUGUAUACUUAAGUGUAUACAUGGCAUGGGUGAGGUUACUUAGUUCAAUAUACUUAACUAAGUCGCUGAUAUAGAAUGCUGGCCAUGGUUUUUGAAGAGCAGAAAUGGAGAGCCUUAGCAGGAUGAAUUUUGCUAGUUCCACACUGGAUGGCUUUUCUCCAUGGAUUCUCACCGUAUAAUGUGCACCAGAUCCCAGCCCCCUCUAAAACCAUUCAGAGGUCAUCCCUGGAUCUCAGGUUUUGGUGCUGAAAUGUCAGGGAAUCGUCCUAAACCUGAAAUACUGGAUGACUUGGUAACUCCGGCGGAUCUCUUGGUAACUCUAGCUCUGUCAGCCAUUGAAUGGCCACAGGGGGAGCCCUAGUAGCUAAACCAUGAGUCCAGGUGGGGAGGUGUUGAGAGGAGAGACGUAGUUCAGCUCCAUCUGUGGAGCUUUUGUGCUAUGCUUUGCCAUAUAGGAUUUUAGCUGUUGUCUCCUUUCCUUGACUGCUGCAGUGUGAUUGUGGGGAAAGUGCGAGCAUUAGUGUCAACAGGAUUCCAGCGCUGGUGUUGGUGUGGUCCCACUAUGGCUCUGAUCCAGUUUGGGCCCCUGUCCAAGAGAGAAAGAUCCUGUCAUUUGUCUCGUGGAUGAUCAUUUGCAGCAUGGUCAAUGGAGGCGAAUGCUUGUAGCCUCUUGCCUAAAUUUCUGCUGGGUUCUUAUCCCUUAUAUUUAGCAGCCUUGCUCUAGGGUUACAUAUCAGGAUUACACAUGCAUUGCUCUUUUGCAGAACUCAGCUGUCCGAGAGACCUGAAGGAUGCUAAUUCGAUCCAAGAGCUGAGGGCAGCAAUUUUGGUGUCCAUCUGCCUCUGCCAGUAAAGUGGCAAAACAGAACCUGGGCUUCUGAGAACAGAGAAUGGGUGAGGAGCUUUCUUGGAUGGUACAAGGGAGGAAUGUCUUUUGGAGAGGGGAUGAAGGUUUCACUGCUUCACAUACUUAUCUGGAAAGAAACACCACUGAACUGAAUGAGACAUAAAAGGAAGGAAAAAAGGAAAUAGAUGUCUGGCUUAAGUAGAAUCCAGAAUUUUUACCAUUGUCAUUCUGCACUGAGUAACAAAAGGCCCAGGGCUCCUGUCCCUUUCAGAGCUGUGUGGAAGAAGGAAUCGCAGCAGGUGCAGCUUGCAUGACAGCAGCACUCACAUAAAAAUGUGACAAUGCCACUUAUUUUAGCUUCCCCUGGACAGACAAUAAUCCAAAGUUUUGACCAUUUUGGUGUCC